AGAGUUUGAUUCUGGCUCAUGACGAACGCUGGCGGCGUGCUUUAGGCAUGCAAGUCGAACGCUAAAGCCCCUUCGGGGGUGAGUAGAGUGGCGAACGGGUGAGUAACCCGUGGGUAACCGGCCCCUCGCAUGGGGAUAACCGGGGGAAACCCCUGCUAAUACCCCGUACGCUUGCUGGGGCGCAUGCUCCGGCAAGGAAAGGUAGCUUCGGGCAUCCGGCGAGGGAGGGGCCCGCGGCCCAUUAGCUAGUUGGUGGGGUAACGGCCCACCAAGGCUACGAUGGGUAGCUGGCCUGAGAGGGUGGUCAGCCACACUGGGACUGACACACGGCCCAGACUCCUACGGGAGGCAACACCCGCGAAUCUUGCGCAAUGGGCGAAAGCCUGACCCAGCAACGCCACGUGGGCGAUGAAGGCCUUCGGGUCGUAAAGCCCUGUUGUCGGGGACGAAGGGCUAAGGGUUAAUAACCCCUAGCCCGACUGCACCCGACGAGGAAGCCUCGGCUAACUACGUGCCACUAGCCCCGGUAAUACUGAGGGGGCGAGCGUUGUCCGGAAUCAUUGGACUUAAAUAUCAUGUCUCCGGUCUGAUAAGUCCGCUGUGAAAACACGCGGGCUCAACCACAGGCGUGCAGUGGACACUGCCGGUCUAGAGGGUGGCAGAGGCGAGUCGCAUUCCCGGAGUAGCUGUGAUAUGCACAGAUAUCCUGAGGAACUGCACUAGCGAAGGUGGCUCGCUGGGCCGUUCCCGACUCUGAGACGCUAAAGCUNGGGUAGCCAACAUGAUUAGAUACCCUCGCUGUUCCUAGUCGCAUACGAUGGGUACUAGGUGUGGGGAGAGUCUAAUCCCUCNUGCCGCAGCUACGCGCUUAGUGCUCNACCUGGUGAGAUGGCCGCAAGGCUAAUCUCCAAUGAAUUGAUGGGC
rnacentral:rRNA from 1 species